rnacentral:RNase_P_RNA from 2 species
GGGAGAGAGAGCCCGGUUGCCGCGAUGGUCGUGCCGGCGACGGCGCGACCACCAUGCCGUCGGCACCCCUGCGGGUGACCGACGCGCACAACGUCGGCCACCUCUUCGAGGUGCGCCACGCUCGUAACGUGGACCGACUCUUCGAGUCGCUCCACGCUCACAACGUGAUCCAUCCCUUCGGGAUGCAUCACGCUCGCGAGGAAAGUCCCCCCACCUGUUCGGGCAGGUGACCGGACGCAAGUCCGGAGCGGGAGACCGCUGGCUCUGGAACAGAAACGACACGUCUCGGCCCGACCGAUGAUGCGUGCGAACCCGACCGAGAGGAAGGGGAGUUGACCCGCAGAGGGUGGCGGUCGCAGUAACGUGGUUCGAAACCACAGGUCGUGUUCGUCACGACCGACCGCACACGGACGGCCGAGGAGCGAUGGAACGGCGAAUCCUCACCGGUGCAAGUCCGCGCCGUGGUAGCCCGAACGAACCGCGGUUUCCGCGGGCGGCGCGGACGCUCAGCCGAAUGCCGGGACGAACAGAAGGGGGCUUACUCCUCUCACCC